CGAGCUUGUGGGUCCGUUGCUGCUGCUGUCACUCGGUGCGGUGGAAAAACCUGCCCCAGAUCUGGUUCCGCCGCCGCCGCUGCUGCUGCUGCUCCUCCACCACCAAGUGAUUCCCCCUCCCUAGUACCCCAGGCUCUGCCCGAUCUGCUGAGUAUUUUCAUCACCUCUGGCUUGUAUUACAGAUACCUGUCCACAGAUAUCAGCGUGCUUCAGAAGGAAGAAAGGGCUUCGAGAGGAGAGGACACAAAAAAAACCGAAUGGAAUUAGAGGAGUGGACGACCCUAGUUAGAUGUUGACUGGAGAAGAUGGUAUUUCCCGAGAAUGUGGAGGCUGCAAGGUGAAUUGAAUGAAAAGGAAAGGACGUCGGGCUUCAGUUAUAUAAGGCACUGGUGAAAUCACUUCAGAAUGACUACACUGGUCUCGUUUUACAAGAAAGUGCACGGUAGAGAGCAUUCUGACUGGUUGCAUCUUGGCCUGGUUCGGCAACUUGAACGUCCAGCAGCGGAAAAGACUACAAAAAGUUGUAAACACUGCCCAGUCCAUCACCAGCCCUGACCUCCCCACCAUCGAAGGGAUCUAUCGUAGUCGCUGCCUCAAAAGGCAGCCAACAUCAUCAAAUACACACACCAUCCUGGCCAUGCACUCAUCUCACCACUGCCAUCGGGAAGAAGGUACAGGAGCCUGAGAACUGUAACGUCCAAGUUCAGGAACAGCUUCUUUCCUACAGCCAUCAGGCUAUUAAACACUACAACCUCAUAAGCUAUAAACUACAAUAGAUUAUUAUUAUUAUUAUUGCACUGUUAUUGCUUGUUCUUAUUUUUUACUGAGUUUUUGUUAUAUUAUUUAUAAUGAUUACAUAUUCUGUUGUACUGCAGCAAGUAAGAAUUUCAUUGUUCUAUCUGGGACAUGACAAUAAAACACUCUUGACCUGACUCUUGAUAUCACUUAUCACUCUAUCAGCAUAAUAUACUGUAGCAGAAAAACAAUUUAACAAAUGAAAACUUUACAGUACUGAACCUUUGAACAUGUGAGGUUGUCAAC